CCGUGCCAGACGGGGAGCCAGCGGUGCCUUGUAACUCGCAAUCCGCUACAGCGAGGUUUGAUCCCUUUGCUGAGGUCUGUGUCUGUGGCGUCUGGAACGUCGUCGGGGGGCGAUGAAGGUUGGGUCCUGUGCAACACUGCGCUGUGAACCGUGUCAGGUUCGGAAGAAAGCAGCACUAAGCAGAGGUAUGUGUGUGCCGCAGGGUUGCCUGGCCGGAGCUCAGCGCUUCGGAUUCCGGUCGUAGAUGCAGCAUCGAUCAAAGGUGCACGG
rnacentral:SRP_RNA from 1 species